AAUCCGUGUUGUGGACACUUCCGCAAGAGACUCUUGAAUUGCACCAAUGUCUCAAAUAAGGAUUCAAGCUCCAUCUGAAAAAAUGACUAUAUCUCAUUAUGAAGCUU